rfam:Triticum aestivum genome assembly, contig: Triticum_aestivum_CS42_TGACv1_scaffold_032279_1BL
CAAAUACUCCCUCCGUCCGGAAAUACUUGUCGAAGGAAUGGACGUAUCUAGACGUAUUUUAGUGUUGAAUACAUUCAUUUUUAGUCAUUUCUAUGAUAAGUAUUUCCGGACGAAGGAAGUACCAC